UACAGGGUCAGUCAUAGUAGUAUGAUAGGUGUUGUUUUACAGGGUCAGUCAUAGUAGUAUGAUAGGUGUUGUUAUACAGGGUCAGUCAUAGUAGUAUGAUAGGUGUUGUUUUACAGGGUCAGUCAUAGUAGUAUGAUAGGUGUUGUUUUACAGGGUCAGUCAUAGUAGUAUGAUAGGUGUUGUUUUACAGGGUCAGUCAUAGUAGUAUGAUAUGUGUUGUUUUACAGGGUCAGUCAUAGUAGUAGUAUGAUAGGUGUUGUUUUACAGGGUCAGUCAUAGUAGUGUGAUAGGUGUUGUUUUACAGGGUCAGUCAUAGUAGUAUGAUAGGUGUUGUUUUACAGGGUCAGUCAUAGUAGUAUGAUAGGUGUUGUUUUACAGGGUCAGUCAUAGUAGUAUGAUAGGUGUUGUUUUACAGGGUCAGUCAUAGUAGUAUGAUAGGUGUUGUUUUACAGGGUCAGUCAUAGUAGUAUGAUAGGUGUUGUUUUACAGGGUCAUAGUAGUAUGAUAGGUGUUGUUUUACAGGGUCAGUCAUAGUAGUAUGAUAGGUGUUGUUUUACAGGGUCAGUCAUAGUAGUAUGAUAGGUGUUGUUUUACAGGGUCAUAGUAGUAUGAUAGGUGUUGUUGUACAGGGUCAGUCAUAGUAGUACGAUAGGUGUUGUUUUACAGGGUCAGUCAUAGUAGUACAGUAACCCUGGAGCAAAUCAGGGUGAAGUGUCUUGGUCAAGGACCAAGUCAGAUUUUUUACCUUGUCUUCGAAA